CGCUGGCGGCGUGCUUAACACAUGCAAGUCGAACGGAAAGGCCCUUCGGGGUACUCGAGUGGCGAACGGGUGAGUAACACGUGGGUGAUCUGCCCUGCACUUUGGGAUAAGCCUGGGAAACUGGGUCUAAUACCGGAUAGGACUACGGCCUGCAUGGGUUGUGGUGGAAAGCUUUUGCGGUGUGGGAUGGGCCCGCGGCCUAUCAGCUUGUUGGUGGGGUGAUGGCCUACCAAGGCGACGACGGGUAGCCGGCCUGAGAGGGUGACCGGCCACACUGGGACUGAGAUACGGCCCAGACUCCUACGGGAGGCAGCAGUGGGGAAUAUUGCACAAUGGGCGCAAGCCUGAUGCAGCGACGCCGCGUGGGGGAUGACGGCCUUCGGGUUGUAAACCUCUUUCAGUAGGGACGAAGCGUAAGUGACGGUACCUAUAGAAGAAGCACCGGCCAACUACGUG
rnacentral:rRNA from 1 species